rnacentral:misc_RNA from 1 species
AACUCAACCUGAAGUUUUCUUUUCAAUGUCUCGACUUAAAACUAAGAUAGAUAAUUAUACAUAGAUAGAUACUCUCCCUUUAUCGUCUAGCAUAAAAGUAUUUUUCCAUAAUAUUCAAUAUGACCUCUGAAAGUACUGUUAUCAAUAGCUUUUGUAAUAAAAUAUUGAUAAUUGCUCAUAAUUAUUAGUAGGCCCACGGAUACUGUACAUAAUACUCGCUUUGAAAACUUUGAACUUAUAAUCACUCCAUUCCAUUAUGAUAAUACUUCAUUUAUUGAUUGAAACAGGAAACUCAUAAACAACGGUGUUUCAUCUUUAUCAGAAACAUUCACAUGCUUUAUAAGUAAACACGUACAGCUUGUAAUAUCUUCUUUUCUACUUUUAUUUUGUUUUAAAAGUUUAAAAAUAUUAAGUGUAAAAACCUUAGCGACAAACUUAACGUGCUUUGUAAGAGUGAAAGUUAAACUAUCAAAUAUGAAAAGUGGGAAAAGACUAGUUUUAUUUACAUUAUUCGCAAUGAACUUGGUGGAGCAGCCAGCGCCCGAAGUGAGGAUAGAGCAAGGAAUAUUGAGCGGUAAAGUCAGCACAGAUGGGUCCUUUUUCGAAUACCUCGGCAUACCUUAUGCUUCUACUAAUAGCAGUACGAGGUUCCAGGCUCCUUUACCACCAUCAUCUUGGGAAGGAAUAUACAGAGCAGUAGAUGAAAAUUAUCAAUGCCCACAACCUUCUUUUGCUGGAGUUAUUGGCACCGAAGAUUGCUUGAAGAUCAAUGUUUAUGUCCCAAUCAAAAACCAAAAACAAUAUCCUAUAAUGGUAUAUAUUCACGGAGGUACUUAUAUAAUUGGAAAUGGAGGCAAACUUUUGUAUGGGCCUGAUUUUCUGGUCAAACAAAAUGUUAUAUUGGUCACAUUUAACUAUAGACUGGGAGCUUUAGGAUUUCUUUGCCUCGGUAUUAAAGAAGCUCCGGGGAAUGCUGGUCUUAAAGAUCAAAUAGCUGCUUUGAGAUGGGUGAAGAGAAAUAUAGCAGCGUUUGGUGGAGAUCCUGACAAUGUGACACUUUUUGGACUCAGUGCUGGAGCAACGUCUGUGUCAAUGUUGAUAGCCAGUGAUGUAACGAAAGGAUUAUUUCAAAGAGCUAUCUUACAAAGCGGUGUAUCUACCUCCAGUUGGGCACUAAACCGACAACCUCUAUUUACUGCUAGUCUAGUAGCAAAAGAACUUGGUUAUGAAACUAGUGAUCCAAAAGAAAUGUAUAAUAUAUUCUCUAAGAUAUCAUACAGAGAUUUGGUUGCAGCUAAACCUAAGAAACCGAUUGGAAAAUACUUUGAUUUUCAGUUAAUACACUAUCCUUGCAUAGAAAAUGUUAUUGAGGGCGAGGAGGCGGUUCUAACAGAUUUACCUUAUAAUUUGUUUAAGAAAAACUCCAAGAAUAUAUCAGUGAUAUACGGCACAACUAGUAAAGAAGGUGUGAUAUUGUUACCCGAUGAGACAGAAGAUACACUAAAAGAAAGAGAUUCAAAAUAUAUAUUUGCUCCUGACUUGAAAUUCCCUACUGAAGACGAAGCUGCCAAUCUAUCAAGUACAGUUAAACAAUAUUACUUUGGUCCGAAAAAUAUUAGUUUUGAAGACUACAAUGCGUUGCUAGAUCUCAAUACACAUUUAUAUUUUGAAGUACCUAGUUUACUGGAAUCUGAAAUGGUUAUCAAUAAGACAAGUGCUCCUAUAUACCACUAUUAUUUUAACUAUUCUGGAGGAAGGAAUUUUCUAAAAUAUGUAGCUGGGUAUGGUAAUGAGCCGGGAGCAUGUCACGGUGAUGAAAUCAUGUACCUAUUUAAUGGGCAAGUAUGGCCUUUUAUAGUUAGCAAGAAUGAUCGAAAGUUGAUUGAUUGGAUGACUAGAAUGUGGACCAACUUUGCUAAAUAUGGAGACCCCACUCCGACUGCGAAUGAUUUACCUGUAAGAUGGAAUCCAAGCUCCAAAGACAACAUGACUUUCUUGUACAUAGACGAUGAACUGAAAAUGGGUCCUAUUCCUAACCCGGACCCCUAUCGACUGUGGAAGGGUAUUUAUAAUAAAUACCGGAAAACUAAUAAAGUAAACGAUUUUGGAAGAUAAAAUAUACUAGUUUUCAUUUAUUGGAUUGAUAAUCUUGGAAACAUGUACCUCAAGGCACCACUACCCCCACCAAAAUGGAGUGGAGUCUUUAAAGCAGUUGAUGAGAACUCGCGAUGCACACAAAGUAUGAGCGAAGUGGUGGUUGGAACCCAAGACUGCUUGAAGAUCAAUGUGUAUGUUCCAGCCA